rnacentral:rRNA from 2 species
ACAUACGACCAUAGGGUGUGGAAAAUAGGGCUUCCCGUCCGCUCAGCCGUACUCAAGCCACACGCCGGUGAGUUAGUAGUUGGGUGGGUGACCACCAGCGAAUCCUCACUGUUGUAUGUUU